rnacentral:lncRNA from 1 species
UUUUCUCUUCAUUUUGUUAAUGAGCUGAAAUUUGCAUUCUAGUUUGCUAUGAUGGCUUCUCUUUCUUAUUUUUCACCUCAUUCUGUAUUGCUGCUUAAUCUAUGUGAACCUUAAAGGUUGAUUUUUUUAUGGGUAGGUUUCUAUGUUCGAGAAAUCUGUGUCGAAAAUGCAAUUGAUUGAUCUCAUGAAGGCGACCAAUGAUUUUGACAAUGAAAACAUAAUUGGUACCGGCAGGACAGGGACGAUGUACAAGGCAACACUUCCAGAUGGCACUUUUCUUGCUAUCAAGAGGUUACAGGACUCACAGCAAUCUGAAAACCAGUUUGUAUCUGAGAUGGCAACGCUGGGAAAUGUCAGGCAUCAAAACUUGGUUCCCUUAUUGGGUUAUUGCAGUGCGAAGAAGGAGAGGCUCUUGGUGUACAAGUACAUGGCCAAGGGGACUCUCUACGAUC